rnacentral:misc_RNA from 1 species
GCGGCAUCAAAACCAACAAAACCCUAAGCUAAUCUAAUCUAUUUAUCGACCUACCUACCUACCUAUCUGUCUGGCAUGAGCCAAAACACAAAAAAAAAAAAAAAAAAAAGAAAAACCUCCAGCGCUGCCCCAAAUCCAAAACCCCAACCAGAUCAAACAACCCUCGAACGGACCGCCCACAGAAGAAACCGCACGGAAAACGCAGUACCAAAUCUAGGGCUGAGAGAAGUGGACAAGCGACGAAUUGGCAGUGGCAGUCUCAAUAGGGCUGAAAGGCCAGAUCGAAGGAUAUGAACUUCACCACCAAGGAAAUUGAUUCAGUUGCCGAGAUUUCUUGUUCGUAGAAGUCGAUCUUCCCGUGCUAUUCGCU